ensembl:lncRNA
GCCUGGUAGCGAUACUGGCCAGGACAAUACACGCAAGUAUUAUGUCGCAUGCUCCCUGUGGUUCCACUCAUAAGUAGUUAAGGCAUGCAAAGCGUCUCUUCAGAAGAUUUAAACGCUCAAUUGCACAUCUUGUUUUGCAAUGAGCAGUGUUGAAGCGUGCCUGCGCUGGUGUGGUUGCUGCAAGGAAAGGAGUCAUCAGCAAUGGUAGAAGUGGAUAGGCUCUGUCUCCUAAUAUUAGGAUUAAAUGUUUUGAACAACUGGCCCUCUGAGAAAUUAAGGCAUGCAGCACAGGUCUGAAAACAAACAAACAAACAAACAAACAAACAAACAAACAAAAAACUAAAAAAAAAAAAAAAAAAAAAAAAAAGCCCGACACCACACGUCAGGGUUCAGCAUAUGGCGAACGGUCUUUUUUUAAAUUCAACUUGCACACUGCUUUAUUAAAAUGGUACACUGUAAAAAUUAGUUGUGCCCAUUAGUCAUGAUAACUUCUAAUUUAUUGUCAGUAUGACUACAAAUCAUUGAAACAGUUGUGAUAACUCAGAAUUUUGUGUUUAUGUCUUCUCAACUAGUGAAAAGUUUUCAAACUAAGAAACAUGAUUCAAUUGAAAUGAAGAAUGACAGUCAAACUGAUGUAAGCAUAAUCGCUUCUGUCAUUGGCUGUCAAAGGCUGACGUAGGCACUUCAACUAACGUUCCAAAACCGUUGAUGCUGCCCGCCUUUUCUCCCUCUUUCACCACAUCCACAAUCACAUCUGUUCGCAUAGUUGGAUUAACUAUUCUGCUGGAAUAUGAGGUAAGUUAAUUAAGAUAGCUAGCUUUAAGUGAUAGCUAAACAUUUGGAACAUAAUUGUUUUAUAAUUAUAAUUUAUAUUAUAGUAUAUGUUUAGCCUUUUAUUUGCAUUAAUCACCAGAGACGACCAGAUGUACCUGCCUCUGUUCAGAUGGCAUUAAUGUCGUUUGGAACAAAAUUCUAGCUCAGCAAAACCUAUAUCUAAAGAUGUUUGAAUAUAAAAGAGAGAAAACUAUUUUUCAAAGCCUUUGGUUGAUAUCUCUGAUAUCCCUAAACUUGUGUGUAACUGCGGUGUCGCGCAUGACCCCGCCUCCCUGUCUGCAGUGCCAGCCGAGCUGAUUCUGUGCCCCGCUAGUGAGCUCAAUGUACGGAGAAACCAUCAGCCGCUGCACGGAGACACGCUCCUUUCUUUCUCCUCAGAAGAAACGGGUGUCUGCUCCCCAGUUUGUCAUCAAGGUGGGUUGAAUUAAAUUGCUUUUGUCUUGUAUUUCUUUUGUAACUUGGUAAGUUAACUGUAGAUAACUCUGUAAGCUAGCGACUGCUAAAUUAGCAGUAGCUAACUUGGUAAGCUAGCAACUGCUGAUUUAGCAGUAGCUAACGUAGCUUGUAGUAAUAUUGAUGUUGUAACAGUUAGCUAGUUUCAGCCCAGCUCGGGUGGAUUGGGUUUUCAGGGGUAUGUCAUGAUGACCACGAGACUCUAGGUCUCACGUCCAAGUUCUCAUAAAGUUAAAAAACACAAAAACACAUUCACAACGGAUAAUGUAACAGCGCGAAAAAGAGCCACGCAUGCGCACAUACAGAGAGCGGCACAGCGCGUUGUCUGCUGUGCUGUCACGUUAAUUUAUUCAGAGAAUAGAGAAAUAUCCACAGGCUAUUUAAGUGUAAUUUAUUCCCGUGCUAAGAGUAAUCUCAGUCAUAUGCAUGAUGCAUAAUGUUGCAUAAAGGAGGAGGGGAGGGUGCGGCGCGUCCUCUCUGGCUCUAGUUGCCCAAGCUGCAGUCUGUUCACGACGCUGCCGUUAGGCAGGUGGUUCAGGAGCAUCCAAACCAGGACCAGCAGGUUCAGAGACAGCUUCUGCCCGCACGCCAUCAGACUA